GGGCAUACUGAUUGCUUAUUGCACCACAUGUGUUUUUCUUUGAAACAAACUUGCUUUGGCGGUGGGCCCAGCCUGCCGCCAGAGGUCUAAACUUACAACCAAUUUUUUAUCAACUUGUCACACCAGAUUAUUACUAAUAGUCAAAACUUUCAACAACGGAUCUCUUGGUUCUCGCAUCGAUGAAGAACGCAGCGAAAUGCGAUACGUAAUAUGAAUUGCAGAUAUUCGUGAAUCAUCGAAUCUUUGAACGCACAUUGCGCCCUCUGGUAUUCCGGAGGGCAUGCCUGUUUGAGCGUCGUUUCUCCCUCAAACCGCUGGGUUUGGUGUUGAGCAAUACGACUUGGGUUUGCUUGAAAGACGGUAGUGGUAAGGCGGGAUCGCUUUGACAAUGGCUUAGGUCUAACCAAAAACAUUGCUUGCGGCGGUAACGUCUACCACGUAUAUCUUCAAACUUUGACCUCAAAUCAGGUAGGACUACCCGCUGAACUUAAGCAUAUCAAUAAGCGGAGGAA
rnacentral:rRNA from 1 species